AGCGCGGGUCAGGGAACUCCGGGUUGGGGUGCGGGCUUGAGAAAUCAGGGAAAUGAUUUGAGGGAAAAACUUUAUUGUUUCUAGAAGAGCCUCGAAGCAAUCACCGGAUGGGAAACCAGCUGGACGUCGUACUUACUUUCCGGUGAAUUGUCUGGUUGCUCAUCAAAAAUCAAUUGACUACAGAUGCGAAGGAGUCUGCAUGCUGACCGUGUUGCUGGCCAGCCUCAUGAGUGUAAGCUCUCUGACCACAUUCUGGAUUGUUACAGGAAACCUCGGUUUUUUGAAGGCUUGUAAGGCCUUCACGUGAUGAGACCCACCCUUUGAGUAAUCUUUACUUAAAGGCAAGUCAGCCACACCUAUAAGUAGCUUCACAACAUGUGUGGACUAAAUCACCAGUUUGAUCGAAUGACUGCACACUACGGCCUGGGCAGGUUGACACGUGAGACCAACUGUCACGGCCCACCUUCUUUUGACUUGGUACCCACAGCUCUGCUGUAGCCAUGUUGAGUCUCUAAGUGAAGACAGUAAGUAAGAGAGUCGUUCUCCCUCCUAAUGAGACAUGCGGACACUGUCCCCAGGGCAUGCAGAGUGCUGGGGUGAUGCUUACUUUUCUCCUUGACGACCUGUAACUUAAACCCUGUGAUGUGAGGGUAACAGUUAUUUGUGUAUCUUAUGGUCUAUGUUAUGCUAUACGGUAAGAAGAUAAAGGAAGGGAAGAAAAGAAAUGUAUUUGAUGCGUGCACAAGUGUGUGCGUGCAGUCUACAGUCACGAGGUUGGUGAACUUUUUCUCCUCUUGCAGCACCAGUGCCAGCUCGACUGCCAACUCCCAAGCUGGCACCACUGUCAGCGCCAGAUCUUGUACCAG